AGGAAUCUGCCUGGUAGUGGGGGACAACGUUUCGAAAGGAACGCUAAUACCGCAUACGUCCUACGGGAGAAAGCAGGGGACCUUCGGGCCUUGCGCUAUCAGAUGAGCCUAGGUCGGAUUAGCUAGUUGGUGAGGUAAUGGCUCACCAAGGCGACGAUCCGUAACUGGUCUGAGAGGAUGAUCAGUCACACUGGAACUGAGACACGGUCCAGACUCCUACGGGAGGCAGCAGUGGGGAAUAUUGGACAAUGGGCGAAAGCCUGAUCCAGCCAUGCCGCGUGUGUGAAGAAGGUCUUCGGAUUGUAAAGCACUUUAAGUUGGGAGGAAGGGCAUUAACCUAAUACGUUAGUGUUUUGACUUUUAUCGUUUGAAUAAGCACCGGCUAACUCUGUGCCAGCAGCCGCGGUAAUACAGAGGGUGCAAGCGUUAAUCGGAAUUACUGGGCGUAAAGCGCGCGUAGGUGGUUUGUUAAGUUGGAUGUGAAAGCCCCGGGCUCAACCUGGGAACUGCAUCCAAAACUGGCAAGCUAGAGUACGGUAGAGGGUGGUGGAAUUUCCUGUGUAGCGGUGAAAUGCGUA
rnacentral:rRNA from 1 species